rnacentral:rRNA from 1 species
GACGAACGCUGGCGGCGUGCCUAAUACAUGCAAGUCGAACGAAGCUGUUUUAACUGGUGCUUGCACCGACUUAAACAACUGAGUGGCGAACGGGUGAGUAACACGUGGGUAACCUGCCCCAAAGCGGGGGAUAACAUUUGGAAACAGAUGCUAAUACCGCAUAACCACAGAAACCACAUGGUUUCUGUGUCAAAGAUGGUUUCGGCAAUCACUUUGGGAUGGACCCGCGGCGUAUUAGCUAGUUGGUAAGGUAAUGGCUUACCAAGGCAAUGAUACGUAGCCGAACUGAGAGGUUGAUCGGCCAUAUUGGGACUGAGACACGGCCCAAACUCCUACGGGAGGCAGCAGUAGGGAAUCUUCCACAAUGGACGAAAGUCUGAUGGAGCAACGCCGCGUGAGUGAAGAAGGUUUUCGGAUCGUAAAACUCUGUUGUCAGAGAAGAACGUGUGCGAGAGUAACUGUUCGUGCAGUGACGGUAUCUGGCCAGAAAGCCACGGCUAACUACGUGCCAGCCGCCGCGGUAA